GGGCAUUUGGCACAGUGGUAGCGCGCACGCUUUGCAUCUUCGCUUGCGUGAGGUCCAGGGUUCAAUCCCCUGAAUGUCCA
rnacentral:tRNA from 1 species